GCUUAAUUUACUUCUGUUUAUCAAAUUUCAAUCAUUCAGUCAUAUAUGAAGGCUUAAAUAAAUGUCCUCCGUGUUUUCUACAAUCUCUUUGUGGAGAAGCAUAGGGGUAGCAUACAUGAGUUUCGGCUCCCUAAUCAACUUCAUACCUUAAUGAGGUGUACCGACCGCGAUGGGCGCUGUAGGAUCCUAAUCAGUGGACCGAGCCAGGUGUGUCUGAGUGGCGGGGGAUAUGACGUGCAUCAGCACCACGUCGCAAAAAACAUUGGGUGGUAACGUACGUGACAUUUUCUCUGGUCUUAAAGUCAAUCGAACAAUUUAGACGUUUGAGUUGCCAGUUCCGGGUAAAACUAUAAUGCUUCCUGUAGACAGGACGCUGAGAGCCUCCAUUGCGUGCUGAUGAAUCGACAGUGCCUGUUGUACACGUUUAUGGAAUUUUGCAGCAUGAAGAGCACAUGGGGACUAGACAAUGCACUGGUGAAGUACUGGUGAAGUGAGGGAGUGCCCUUGAAGUAUUUUCUUACAAAAAGGACAAACUCAGCCUCUGGUUCUGUCUCAUCACCUCCCUCAACGCAGUGGGGGGACUGAGCAGCAUGUCUGGACUUUGUCCAAGAGAGGCCUGGCUACGUGACGCAGAACAAACCCCUGUUUCCCCACCUCAGUGUGCUGAAAAUGCUCCAGAACAAUUGACUUACCUCCUUCUCUCUCUCACACACACACAUAGUGCACAUACUCACUAUUACAUGCUUGGACACAAUGGACUGGUCUAAAAAAUUAAUGUUUCAAACAGAUUUAUUCACACAAGUUCAGUUAUGCAUAUUAACCCACAGGCACACUUUUUUCGGUUCCCUUGAAUUGCAAUGUCCUGAAAUGCCCGAGUGAGAGAAGGUCGUUGCUCCACCUUCAAGACCAACAAAUAUGGUUUAUUUUUUGUGGCCAUUCUUUGUGAAGGGUAUCUGAACAAAAACAAACCCUUUAAAGUACUGUCCUUACAUCCAUGUGAAAGAAAUGAUUAGAUAAUAACAGUAACAUGAUUGCAGAACCCAAUUGGGAAUGAUUACUUGAUGACAAAGCUGCCCUUUCCGAUAAAGAAGGGUGGUCAGCAAAAGAUCUGACAAAAUGUUUUGGCCAUUUGUCCCCCUGGAGAGUUUUUAUUUGUUUUUGUUUCGUCGUCUAGUAGGCUAGAACUAAACAUGAUACAAACUGUCUGAUCAUUAUUAAUAAAAGUCAAAAUCUUGAUCACAACUAGACUACCAUUUAAACAAACACACUGCGCACAAGCAGGUAGAUUCUGAAUGUACAAGAGCCUCUUACAAGAGGUCUUUGGAAUAGCUCACGCUGCGUAAUGGCAUCAAGAGUCGGCAAAAUAUUCCCCAUUUCAGCAGUCCCCCUUCUCCUCUGCCUGCAGGUUUGUCUAUAUAUGGAACAGUUCGCUGACGAGUUGGACCUCCUGUGGCAGGUUUCUAAUCACGAAGUAUGGCGUCACUCAUCGGCUGUCUCU